rnacentral:lncRNA from 1 species
CUUUGCACCAUACAAGUAGGGUGAUCCUAUACACCCAAUUUUGCAUCCAGUGGUUCCUAUCAUUUGUGAUUUUUCCAAACAUUAUUUAAGUCAAUUUUAUAAAUUCGCUUGCAUCUUCAAAUUGGAGUGAUCGAAUGCUGUUUUAGCAAUAUUUUAAUUUUAUUUUCAUAUUGCAUCUUUUUAAUACAAACAGAAAACCUAACAUGCUUGAAGAUGUAGAAGAUCCUCGCUAUCCAUCCACCUUCGCAGCUUCUUUUGCCUCACAAUUACCUCUGUCACAAGUCCUAUCAAACACCGUGCCCGAUUCUGGUGAAGCUGACAGCACUGGGGACACUUCGCCUCAAUUGAAGCUGUUAUUCAACCCUUAGACACAACCACUUGCCUCCUAAUUACCUGCUAUGAAAGAAAUUACAUAUUGUGAGCUACUAGCAAAGGAACAACUUCAACACUGCAUCAAAUGGCUCGACCAAAGUUAUCAGUGGAGCAAUAUUCACCUGGUUUCCCCAAAACAAAACAGCACAUCCCAAAGAAUGGUGAACUCCAGUUGAAAAGACAUGCGAUUCUGAAAUAACCAUGGUCAUUUCAGACAUCUUGCGGGAGAAUUAAAAGGGGCAAGAACAUUCAGUGAUUUAGAUACAUUUUACCAUCAGGAGCAUUCACUGCAUUGCACAGUAUGUUACUGAAUAGUUGGAGAGAAACUGGACUCUGUGUAACUAUACUAGACAUGACAAGUACAGAAGUACUAGCUAGUAAUGGACAAGGAAUUUUACUCACGUGAGCAGUUCAAAAC